rnacentral:lncRNA from 1 species
CCAAUUAUCGUUUUCCCAAGAGACUCGAAUGGCUUUCUCUUUCACGUGAGUUAAAAUAAUAAGACUUGAAAAUAAAAAUUAAUAAAUUGGAUUUGAGAGCAAAAAUAUUAACAUGCAAAAUAAAGUUGAUUCAAUUGACAAAAGAAAACAAUGGAUGAAUGGAUGUUGUCGGGGAUUUACAAUUUCAUCUAAUCCGCUCUCUCUUACCUACUACCCUCGAAUAUUAGUUUGAUUGAUUCAAUUGUUAUGCGACUUUCUUAGCCUCCCCUUAACCCGAUCCCUCGNN